GAUGAAGAACGCAGCGAAAUGCGAUAAGUAAUGUGAAUUGCAGAAUUCCGUGAAUCAUCGAAUCUUUGAACGCACAUUGCGCCCCCUGGCAUUCCGGGGGGCAUGCCUGUCCGAGCGUCAUUUCUGCCCUCCAGCCCGGCUGGGUGUUGGGCCUCCGUCCUCCUCCCGGGGGACGGGCCCGAAAGGCAGCGGCGGCACCGCGUCCGGUCCUCGAGCGUAUGGGGCUUCGUCACCCGCUCUUGUAGGCCCGGCCGGCGCUUGCCGACACAUCAAUCUUUUUUCCAGGUUGACCUCGGAUCAGGUAGGGAUACCCGCUGAACUUAAGCAUAUCAAUAAGCGGAGGA
rnacentral:misc_RNA from 1 species